rnacentral:rRNA from 1 species
UACAGAGGUCUCAAGCGUUGUUCGGAUUCAUUGGGCGUAAAGGGUGCGUAGGCGGCGCGGUAAGUCGGGUGUGAAAUCUCGGGGCUUAACUCCGAAACUGCAUUCGAUACUGCCGUGCUUGAGGACUGGAGAGGAGACUGGAAUUACGGUGUAGCGGUGAAAUGCGUAGAUAUCGUAAGGAAGACCAGUGGCGAAGGCGGGUCUCUGGACAGUUCCUGACGCUGAGGCACGAAGGUCAGGGGAGCAAAACGGG